GAUGAACGCUAGCGGGAGGCUUAACACAUGCAAGUCGAGCGGGAAUGGCAGCAAUGCCAUGAGAGCGGCGGACGGGUGCGUAACGCGUAUGCAACCUGCCUUAUGCAGGGGGAUAGCCCAUGGAAACGUGGAUUAAUACCCCAUAUACCAAUAGAGCUGCAUAGCUUGUUUGGGAAAACUACGGUGGCAUAAGAUGGGCAUGCGUCUGAUUAGCUGGAUGGUAAGGUAACGGCUUACCAUGGCGACGAUCAGUAGGGGUCCUGAGAGGGUUACCCCCCACACUGGUACUGAGACACGGACCAGACUCCUACGGGUGGCAG
rnacentral:rRNA from 1 species